rnacentral:rRNA from 1 species
GAUGAACGCUGACAGAAUGCUUAACACAUGCAAGUCAACUUGAACUUCGGUUUGGGUGGCGGACGGGUGAGUAACGCGUAAAGAACUUGCCUCACAGCUAGGGACAACAUUUGGAAACGAAUGCUAAUACCUGAUAUUAUGAUUAUAUGGCAUCGUAUGAUUAUGAAAGCUAUAUGCGCUGUGAGAGAGCUUUGCGUCCCAUUAGCUAGUUGGAGAGGUAACAGCUCACCAAGGCGAUGAUGGGUAGCCGGCCUGAGAGGGUGAUCGGCCACAAGGGGAAUGGAAAAAGGCCCGUAACCCUACGGGGGGGAAGAGGUGGGAAAAAUAGAAAAAGGAACAAGAAUGUUGAACAAGCAAUUCGUGGGGAAGAAGGAAGUUUUGGGGAUAGAAAGGUGUUUCAAGUGGGGAAGAAAAAAUGACGGUACCAACAGAAGAGGUGACGGCUAAAUACGUG